GGAACGAUGGCAGAGUGGCCAAAUGCAUCCGCCUUGAAAGCGGAAGCCUCGCAAGGGGCCGGGGGUUCAAAUCCCUCUCGUUCCG
rnacentral:tRNA from 1 species